rnacentral:lncRNA from 1 species
GGUCAUGUGGCACCUGUGAUAUUAUCUAGAAAAGUGUGACUUGAGGGAAUUUCUCCAGAAUCAAAGAUGUCUGAACGUGUCUGCAUGAACAGAACCCAGGACGCUCCUUACUAAGCAGGCUCUGCAGAACAAACGCAAGCCAGGAGGAAAAGAGGAAAACAUUAGGGAGUUGAGAACAUGCAGCAAAUAUCCUCGAAACUGUGAAUGGACAGCGCCCUGGAUCAUAAGGAGUAGAGACACCACUGACCACUCUCACUGCGCCAUGGUCACGUCUUUCAGGAAAGGGUGGUGUGACCACGAACUGCACGUCUGCUACAGGGCAGGGCUGUGGGCUUCAGGGCAUGACUGUAAACAAAUUUCAAAAAUUUUAGACACAUUUCGAAAAAUGUGAAGCCCUAAUGUCCAUCCACUUCUGGAUAUCAUUUCACAUCUAUCGUAUCUUUCCUACUUUUGAAGACUACUGCAGUUGAAAUCUUGUAAAUUCUACCAGAGGAGAACCCUGGGAUGGCCUUUCGUGAUAUGAAGAUUAAGCAGCCAUAUUUUACUCAUCCCAAUCGCAGAGCUGUUUUUAUUAUACAUUUAUGCAUCCUUUUGUAACAUACAUUUUGGGAGUUAUCCAAUGGCCAUCCAUUUUGUGAACCAGUUUGGCCCAGCUUGUGUCAAGUAGUUAGAAGCUGAGAAAGAAUGAAAGUGCACAAUUAGUCACAAAUUCUCCUCCAAUAUGUGAAUAAGAAAUUAAGCACCAUUUGCUGAUGGAUCAUCAAUAAGUAUUACAGAAAACGUAGGUGUUGAGAAGCCACAUGGCUCAUUUGACAUCACACAGCGGAGGGAAGACAGGACUGGAAACCACAACCUGAUGUCUGGAUGUUACUUUUGUGGCAGCUGUAAUUGUGAUUAUCGUUACUUCUUUGUCCCUGGUACUACAUAUUUCAUUUUAUAACACAUAAAAGUAAUUUUAUAGAAAUGU